rnacentral:rRNA from 1 species
GACGAACGCUGGCGGCGUGCCUAAUACAUGCAAGUAGAACGCACAGUUUAUACCGUAGCUUGCUACACCAUAGACUGUGAGUUGCGAACGGGUGAGUAACGCGUAGGUAACCUGCCUGGUAGCGGGGGAUAACUAUUGGAAACGAUAGCUAAUACCGCAUAAUAUUGAUUAUUGCAUGAUAAUUGAUUGAAGGAUGCUAUUGCAUCACUACCAGAUAGACUUUCGUUGUAUUAGCUAGUAGGUGAGGUAACGGCUCACCUAGGCGACGAUACAUAGCCGACCUGAGAGGGUGGUCGGCCACACUGGGACGGAGACACGGCCCAGACUCCUACGGGAGGCAGCAGUAGGGAAUCGUCGGCAAGGGACGAAAGUCUGACCGAGAAACGCCGCGUGAGGGAAGAAGGUUUUCGGAUCGUAAAGCUCUGUUGUAAGAGAAGAACGGGUGUGAGAGUGGAAAGUUCACACUGUGACGGUAUCUUACCAGAAAGGAACGGCUAACUACGUG